GAUUUCAAUCCUAAAACUACACCUGGAGCAGAACUAUAACUUUUCAGAUAAUCCGUUUAUCAAAAAAACACUUUUCAGAUAAGCCAUCUUCUGCAUUGCCAAUACAAACUCUUCACUUUUCAUAUCAAAUGGCAGAAACAACCAUAAAUCCGGGGAUUAAGAGGAUUGCAGUUGUAACCGGAGGCAAUAAAGGGAUCGGAUUUGAGAUAUGUAGACAGUUAGCUUCAAAUGGGGUCAGGGUGGUUUUAACUGCUAGAGAUGUAAGGAAGGGCAAUGAAGCAAUUGAAAAACUCAAGGCUGCAGGAUGCUCUGAUGUGGUUUUUCAUCAACUAGAUGUGAUGGACCCAACUACCAUUUCUUCUUUGGCAGAUUUCAUCAAAACCCACUUUGGGAAGCUUGA